AGGAGUCGAAGAAGAAUAAAUUUAGUAUUGUUCUUUAGUUUCUUUUUUUAUUUUUAAGCUUUUGUAAUUUAAAUUACGCAAUCUUUGUAUUAGAAAUGUUGAGCGAAGCCAUACUCCUUUCCUCACGGGGAGAGUCUUUGUUAGGAUGCAAUGUCUCAGAGAAGAUAUGAAGUUUUUAACAAGGUGGACUUCUUGUGUAAUAUCUCCUUGUGAAAUAUAAAUAAGGGCUCCCCAAGAAAAAACAAAAGAGGAGAAAUACAGCAUAAAAAG
rnacentral:lncRNA from 1 species